UACGGAGGGUGCAAGCGUUAAUCGGAAUUACUGGGCGUAAAGGGCGCGUAGGCGGCACAGCAAGUCGGGAGUGAAAGCCCGGGGCUCAACCCCGGAACGGCUUUCGAAACUGCUGAGCUAGAGUACAGAAGGGGCAACCGGAAUUCCCAGUGUAGCGGUGAAAUGCGUAGAUAUUGGGAAGAACACCUGAGGCGAAGGCGGGUUGCUGGGCUGAUACUGACGCUGAGGCGCGAAAGCCAGGGGAGCAAACGGG
rnacentral:rRNA from 1 species